AAGUCGUAACAAGGUUUCCGUAGGUGAACCUGCGGAAGGAUCAUUAUCACGUUAUCCACGUAUAAACCAAAUUUAAAUGUGAACUGUUUUACACGCCUUUGGAGAAUCAAAGCUAUCAAUUUGGAUUGUGCUCGAUAUUUGGAUUGUUCAUUAUUAUAGGUUUUGAACAGAAGAAUAUCAUUAUGAGUGCUUUCUAUUGUUUGAUGAUCCGAAGUGUAAAUUUUAACCUAUUAACUUUUAUUAACCAAUUGAACCGUAACAUAGUUAAAUUCUUAUUGUUUGAACUGAAUUGUUUCUUACUCUCAAAUUCAUUUUGGGAGAAGAAAUUCGAUUUUACGAAACAAUAAAAUAUAACUCUUAGCAACGGAUAUCUUGGUUCUC
rnacentral:misc_RNA from 1 species